rnacentral:rRNA from 1 species
GAUGAACGCUGGCGGCGUGCCUAAUACAUGCAAGUCGAGCGAACAGACGAGGAGCUUGCUCCUCUGACGUUAGCGGCGGACGGGUGAGUAACGCGUGGAUAACCUACCUAUAAGACUGGGAUCACUUCGGGAAACCGGAGCUAAUACCGGAUAAUAUAUUGAACCGCAUGGUUCAAUAGUGAAAUACGGUUUUGCUGUCACUUAUCGAUGGAUCCGCGCCGCAUUAGCUGGUUGGUAAGGUAACGGCUUACCACGGCGACGAUGCGUAGCCGACCUGUGAGGGUGAUCGGCCGCAUGAGAACUGGGACACCGUCCAGACUACUACGGGAGGCAGCAGUAGGGUAUCUGCCGCAAUAGGCGAAAGCCUGACGGAGCGACGGCGCGUGAGUGAUGAAGGUCUUGGGAUCGUAAAACUCGGUUAUUAGGGAAGAACAAAUGUGUAAGUAACUAUGCACGUCUUGACGGUACCGAAUCAGAAAGCCACGGCUAACUACGUG